UUGAAAUCUGGCCUUUCAGGUCCGAGUUGUAAUUUGUAGAGGGUGCUUUGGCGUCGGCUGCGGUCUAAGUUCCUUGGAACAGGACGUCACAGAGGGUGAGAAUCCCGUACGUGGCUGCUAGUCUUCGCCGUGUAAAGCCCCUUCGACGAGUCGAGUUGUUUGGGAAUGCAGCUCUAAAUGGGAGGUAAAUUUCUUCUAAAGCUAAAUAUUGGCCAGAGACCGAUAGCGCACAAGUAGAGUGAUCGAAAGAUGAAAAGCACUUUGGAAAGAGAGUCAAAAAGCACGUGAAAUUGUUGAAAGGGAAGCGCUUGCAGCCAGACUUGCCUGUAGUUGCUCAUCGGGACCCCGUCCCGUGCACUCUUCUGCAGGCGGGCCAGCAUCAGUUCAGGCGGCCGGACAAAGACCUCUAUCACGUAUCUUCCUUCGGGAUGACCUUAUAGGGGAGGUGUAAUGCGGCCAGCUUGGAUUGAGGUCCGCGCAUCUGCUAGGAUGCUGGCGUAAUGGCUGUAAGCGGCCCGUCUUGAAACACGGACCAAGGAGUCUAACAUCUAUGCGAGUGUUUGGGUGUCAAGCCCGGGCGCGCAAUGAAAGUGAACGGAGAUGGAACCCCU
rnacentral:rRNA from 1 species